rnacentral:rRNA from 1 species
ACCACUUCGGUGGGGAUUAGUGGCGAACGGGUGAGUAACACGUGGGCAAUCUGCCCUGCACUCUGGGACAAGCCCUGGAAACGGGGUCUAAUACCGGAUACUGAUCCUCGCAGGCAUCUGCGAGGUUCGAAAGCUCCGGCGGUGCAGGAUGAGCCCGCGGCCUAUCAGCUAGUUGGUGAGGUAACGGCUCACCAAGGCGACGACGGGUAGCCGGCCUGAGAGGGCGACCGGCCACACUGGGACUGAGACACGGCCCAGACUCCUACGGGAGGCAGCAGUGGGGAAUAUUGCACAAUGGGCGAAAGCCUGAUGCAGCGACGCCGCGUGAGGGAUGACGGCCUUCGGGUUGUAAACCUCUUUCAGCAGGGAAGAAGCGAAAGUGACGGUACCUGCAGAAGAAGCGCCGGCUAACUACGUGCCAGCAGCCGCGGUAAUACGUAGGGCGCAAGCGUUGUCCGGAAUUAUUGGGCGUAAAGAGCUCGUAGGCGGCUUGUCACGUCGGUUGUGAAAGCCCGGGGCUUAACCCCGGGUCUGCAGUCGAUACGGGCAGGCUAGAGUUCGGUAGGGGAGAUCGGAAUUCCUGGUGUAGCGGUGAAAUGCGCAGAUAUCAGGAGGAACACCGGUGGCGAAGGCGGAUCUC